ACGUACACUCCUGCGGGAGGCAGCAGUGGGGAAUAUUGGACAAUGGGCGCAAGCCUGAUCCAGCCAUGCCGCGUGAGUGAUGAAGGCCCUAGGGUUGUAAAGCUCUUUCACCGGUGAAGAUAAUGACGGUAACCGGAGAAGAAGCCCCGGCUAACUUCGUGCCAGCAGCCGCGGUAAUACGAAGGGGGCUAGCGUUGUUCGGAUUUACUGGGCGUAAAGCGCACGUAGGCGGACUAUUAAGUCAGGGGUGAAAUCCCAGGGCUCAACCCCGGAACUGCCUUUGAUACUGGUAGUCUUGAGUUCGAGAGAGGUGAGUGGAAUUCCGAGUGUAGAGGUGAAAUUCGUAGAUAUUCGGAGGAACACCAGUGGCGAAGGCGGCUCACUGGCUCGAUACUGACGCUGAGGUGCGAAAGCGUGGGGAGCAAACAGGAUUAGAAACCCCAGUAGUCCCAUGAU
rnacentral:rRNA from 1 species